UGGGGUUUGUUUUAUUCUUCUUUCACAGCAAGAUAUUUGUUUUUCUUACAUUAUACCUCUUCUUGUCUAUGUAUCUCUGUAACCUUUUUUCUUUCUUUGGGCUUAUGUUUCCUAAAAUGUUCGUUUUAUGCAGGUGAAAGAUCUGACAGCAAUUUCCAGCUGCCACACCACUUGCUUUGGUGUUAAAGCAGUUUUUGGCUGAUCGUACCCUGGAUCAAUCAUACUCCGGUGGAUUGAGCUCUUAUUGCCUGGUCUUCUGAUUACACGUUUUCUUCAGCAUGAGCAUCAUCUGGGGCGCUCUAUCAACCAAAACAUUGGGCGGCUUCUAAUGGAUUUUGUUUACUUUUUUGGUAAUGUUUUUGAUCCUCGGCAGAUGCGUGGCUCAGUGCAAGGAAGUGGUAUCUAUAGGAAUCGGGAGAGGGGUCAUAGUAUUGAUCCGAUACACAUCGAUGACCCUCUGGAAUCGACAUGGUGUUUUAUGUGGUGUACAAUGUCUGGAAGUUGCAAAAUGCUGAUUGAUGAUUGCAACUGCCUUGGUUGAUUGCGGAUUCGAGGCUGGGAAGCUUACUUACACGAGUCCAAAUUGUUAUUGAAGAUAGACCUCCGCCAGAUUUGCUUACAUUGUGUUGUUGAUGUAAGAAAACUACGUGGCUUGGGCAGCAGCCUAACCAACCAAGUAAGAAAAUGCACUGGUUGAAGCGAAAGAGCCCUAUAAAUGUUUCAAGACUGGGAAGCUUUGGGAGAAUGGUUGAAUCACGGCUCUGAUCUGAGGGAUGAUGUCGCAAUUUCAGAAAACUAGUGAUAUCGAGGUAUGGUUAAGCCUAUGUCUCUCGACAUGAAAUUGUUAAUUGUGGCGACCGUUUCUUCAUUUGAUACCCACUGCUACUAUUGGGGUGAAUCGAAGCCUUUGUCGUCUAUAUGUAUGAUGGCC